UUUUUUUUUUUUUUUUUUUUUUCCUAAAGGAUUAUGAGGAGAUUGCCUUUACAUGUUAUUAGCUAUAUUGAUCUGUAUUUGAGGCACUUCAAAGAGGAAUCUCCAGCAUUCAGAAAGUUUCUUCUCUGUGGAUCAGAAAUCCACACCUACAUUCAACAUGCUAUCACUCUGGUCCCCUGUGACGUACAGUCCUUCCAGAAGAGAGUGGGAGAAAAAAGCAGAAAAGUUAAGCACUGAUUUAGGAUUUCUACUAGUUUUAUUCUAGUCGUGGCAUUGAGAGCAUACCAGGAGCCAUGAACUUCCUUGGCAAUCUACACCUCUCCAGGCCCAAGACCACCAAGUUACUUGGCUCACAGCCUUCUGUUUCCAGAAUUGGUCUUUGAGUGUGCAAGAGUUUGAGGCCAUAAAAUCAAUUUCAGAGUGCAUGAUAGGAGGAAGGGGGCCCUGUAAUUCCUUUUCCUCAGCACUCAGAACACUGAGAAAUGACACAGGAAGUCAGGUUCAAAUCUUUAUGGGGGUUUAAACCUACAUACCUCACCUUAUCCACUUACCAAGCCCUACAGUCUCAUGGAAAGCAUCUGGCUCCAUCUACACCAAACUUUUCAACUUUGCACGAACCACUAUCAGGGUAAAAGGGAAAAAUAGCUGAUAAACAUAAUGUACUUUCUUGGGAAGGAGGGCACUCACAGUCCAGACCUCACCCUGGUCACUGGUGACGGGAAAACACAAAUCAGGGAUCAAACCUUUCCCCCUUUGUACUAUGGCUCAUGCCAGAGUUAUGUGAGUUGCUCUCUUUGCUGUUUCUUUUGGACACAACACCAGUUUUGUCAUCAGAGAGGAUCCUCUGAGUUGGAAAGGAUGAUAUGAGUAUCAAUUCCAUCACAAUAUGAGUAAAUUUGAAUUUCACUGCAUUUCUGGCAUUUAUUACUACAGUGACAGCAAGCCCUGCAGCAUCCCUCAAGCAAACACAUGCCCUAGCAGGCUGAAGAGCUACUACGGAAAUAACUGAAUUGAUUUGCACCUCCUCACCCAAUAGUUCCAGCACUCCACAGACAUCAGUGAUUGACCUUCUCUGACUUUACCUCCUCCAAAUCUUAUUCCUUGACCCUCUUUGCAGCUAAACACAUCCAUUCUUGUUUUCUCCCCUCUCACAAGUUUCUUUUUUGCCACAUGUAUAAACAACUAAAUCAAACUUGACUGCUGAGUGAGGGUUCCCUUCACACACUCUCACUCCCUGCAAAGAUUACUUGGAUGCUUGCCUUCAUUUUUUCUGGAUUCUUCCUGUUCAUUGAGGAAAGAAGCCUUGACAUGGCCCACCUCCAGGGAAAGGUUACUCACCUAAGAUAUUUCACAGCUCUGGGAAAACCCAGCAUUUAAAAACAGGAUCGUGUGUGAAGUACAUCUUUCCAGUAGCAUUUAUGAUGGAAGUGUGGAUACACUGUGCUAAUCAUGAGAAAUUACAAACCAAAACUAAUUAAGAGAGAGAAAGCACUAGGAAACACAUGCAAAACCACUGUUUUUUUAGUAAUUUUGAUCUUGUGAAGGUUUAUGAACUUUGUGUGGAAUAAAGGUAUGAACAUGCCCCACAGAAUUCAUUCUCCGGCAGAAUCAAGACCGCAAAAGGGUAAAAAUGGUGGUGGGGAUUGGAAUAACAAUGAGCAAUCCAGUUGAUGGAUUAUGGAGACUGACCUGUUUAGAGUGGUAUAGAGAGAAACAAAUAUUCUCCUAUUGCAAACCAUAUAAUAAGGGAGCUGCACUAGCCUCUACAUUUAUAGUCUAUAUCAUGGUACAGGAAUGAGAAAAUAUUCAUAUAUUUGAGGAAUUAGUCAAAAAAAAAAAAAAAAGAAAAAAUCAAAUAGCAUAAUAUUUUCAUUUUCAUAAAAAUUCAUUUUUUGAAUUAAUUUUUAACUAUGCAGGGCCACUUUCUGGAAAUAAUGGCUACACUUAUUAAAGGCUCAAACAAGGGUAUUGGGUUUUGAAGGUAGUGGCUCCUGUAACGGCCAGUGCACAACACCUCUACAUCAGAUACUGCCUAGUCACCCAGACAGAGGAACAUGAUGAGAAGAGAAGAACUUUCUCAUCUUGCCCUGCAUGCUGCACACAAGAUUACAUGACUGAGGACUCUAAAGGGAUUUUUGUACUGCUAGGGUCAUCUGCUGUUUGGGGCUUAAUACUUUCAAGUUGUAUUUCAUUAAAGCACCUUAAAAAAAAUAAAAAUGCUAGUCUUCCAAAAGGAAGACCAGAAAACAGAGAUAUUUGGAGAUUUUCAGCCAAGAGUUUGAGUGUAUUUAUGAUUGCAGGCUCCUGCAGGUAUGCACAUACACAGGCUGGGAAUCCUGCCCUCUACAGAGUCCUGCCACAUGUUCCCACAAGCAGAUGCUGGGAUGAGGUACAUCAGGUUCCAUAGGCAUCCAGAGCACCCCAAGAAGUACAAUGCUUCACUAAGGAAUCAGAGUUUGAGAGCAACCCAGCAGCCCAAACCCAGCAGUGGCACCACAGACAACCUCCCAGGGAAUUUCACUGCAGUCAAAAGAAAUGUAAAAAUUCAAACAAAAUACUGAAGCCCUUUGCUUUAUCUUAGCAUCAGGUUGAUAUUAGGCACAGUUUAACCAGUUAGACUGCAGUAGAUGGCUUCACACCCACUUUGCAGUGUAGCUUUAUGUUUUCUGUUCACAGAAAGGCCUUUCACAAAUAAACCUGAAGCAACAACAAGAAGCACCUUUCGCCCUACAUUUAUCCAGUCUGUCUUGAAUUCCUCAGAAGUUGCUGCAGCCAUCUCACAGACCCAUCCUCUGAUAAAGGUAGAGACAGGUUCCUGCGUCUCCAGCAGGAGCUUAGUAGCCCAGGCUACCAAAACAGAUUUAUUACACUUAACACUCCUCUUUUUCCUUUCCACCUGCCCUUCAAGGAAAAAUGUCUUACCUGAGGGAAAGAAAAGGUGUAGUAAACCCAGCAGCCUCCAUCUCAGCACCUUGAACUUCAACAAGAAAAGGAAAUAGCCCACCCCAAUCCUCCCAUCUGAGAGACCCAGCAGCUGUGGUGAGCUUAUUUGCUGCUGAUUUCAAAAGUCACAGGUGUAGGUAACCUCAGAUAGCCCAGAUUCUUGAGAUGAGGAAGAGGUGGAAAAAAAGAUAAAAACCCCUGAGCAAAUCUCUGUGCUAUAUCUUUGGCCAGGGCUUGUACUGGGAGGCAAACCACUGAAAGUAGGAAGAUAACAGUCUGUAUAUGGCUUUUAACUUACUUUUCCUUUCCACUACGUGUGAAAUUUAGCUCUACUGUUUCUGGGUCAUCAGCCUGCAGAUCUGCCUUAGUCAUCUGGCUAGGGCGUUCGUAGAAGAACAAAUAACUGAAUCACAGUCUUUGCAGGAAUUGCUGUGAACUAACUCCUCCCUCCCCCCUUGCCUUUCCCGUAUUUCCCAAGAGGAGGAAGCUGAAGCUCAUAGCAGGAAAGCAACUUGUGCACAGCUCUGCUGCCCCUGCCUUUGGGAGCAGCUCCUGCUCAUGGGCAGUGGCACCCCAACACCUGGGCAAGGGCCUGGAUAUGCCCACACAGAACCAGGAGACAGUGGAAGAAUUCAUCCUGUAAGGGUUGCACAGUACAGGAGCACCUCACACACAUCCCCUGCCUCUAGGGCUGGUUGUCUAUACUUGCAGUUUCCUCAGACCUUGAAAAUUAAAGCAGGCAGGCAAGAAAAAGCAAAAAGAGAAGCUUGAGAGAAAUGACAUUUAACACUCCAAAUUCCUCCUACAUGUCGGUCCCAGGGGGCUUAAAUUCAUGCUUUGCACUGGGCCAUUCACAUACAAUUUUGUGAGUUAUCCACCCAAAUGUAGGAGAGCAGUAGGUGGAAGGAGAUAUCUUACAAUGUCUCUUUGCAGGGUGAGGGCCUUGGAUGUUGUAGGAACAAUCACUGCAGGGCUGACAUAUGAUCCCACAGGUUUUGUGACGCUAAGACUGCAUCUGGGGCUGUGGUGGGCAGCAGGACCUCAGAGAGCCCCCAAGGGGCACGGCUGUCAGAAGAAAGUUCAGAAAGUUGUAAGGCUCAGCCUACUUUCAGAGUAAAUUUAAACAUUCAUGUUUUGGUUGUAGGAAGGCUCCUAUUUCAAAUUUGCCUUGCUUUACCUUGAGAAAAACAUCAAAGUUUUCCCUCUAAAAAUCCACAGCCUAAGUAUUUGGCCUUUUAGAAACUCAGUGAGAAGAACAAAAAGAAAUUCCACCACCUUUUAACCAAAUCACUUCUCCAGUCAAUAAGCAGAGCAGAACAUUAAGCAAGACUGUAGAAUAUCUCAGUUUCCACCCUUUUUUAACCUUAAAAUAUCUGCCCUCCUUCUCAUUUUUGCAGGAAGUGUCCUAGCACAGUUUCAGGAGCUCUGUUAAACCUGUGCUUUCACAGCUUUUUCAGUUUAGACAAAUGACAACAGCCUCUGCCAGAGAACUCUUGCAGCCUUCUGAGCAGCUGAAUUCAGUGCUUCAGUUUAUCAGGAAAGUUAAACUUUGCUUGACUUUAAUGCCUACUGUUUAUAGCAGGAAACCCAAAGAGCACUCCCAGGAUCCUACAAGCAUGGCUCUCACCUAUUUGGAGCUACUAUUGCGCAUCAAGAGGGAACUUUCCACCCAUCUGGGAAACACUCCACUUUGCUGUAAUUUCCAGAAGAUUGCUUUCCUGCUGGGAUCAGUCUCCCCACAAAGGUUUUGACAGAAGGAGCUACACAAAACAGAGUUUGCAAAGCAAUAUCCUUUUUUUUCUUUUAAACUGGUUUCUUUUUCUAUGCCAUAAGCGAUCACCAUUAAAAAAUGUAUUUUGCUGGUUACUCAGUGUGAUGUUCAAUGUGAACUGUCUGUGAAUAAAUUUCUCUAAACAAGUUCAGAGAAAAGUAAUUCCUUAGGAUUUGCCCACAGUUAAUUGUUUUCUGGAUUUCUAGCAAUCCACAGAAUAAAAUUCCUUGGCCUUUCAUGUUUUAAUAAAAUUUUCCUCUUCCAAAC
rnacentral:lncRNA from 1 species